rnacentral:rRNA from 1 species
CCUGUCCUUUUGAUUUAUAAUUUAAGGUCUAAUCUGCUCAAUGAAUAAUUAAAUAGCCGCAGUAUUUUGACUGUGCAAAGGUAGCAUAAUAAUUAGUUUUUUGAUUAAAAGCUUGAAUGAAUGAUUGGACGAGAAAAUUACUGUCUCUUUUUAAUAUAUUUUUGAAUUUUAUUUUUAAGUUAAAAAGCUUAAAUUUUAAUAAAAGACGAGAAGACCCUAUAGAGUUUGAUAGUUAAAUUUUAUUAAUUUUAAGAAAAAAACUUGAAAUUUAAAUAUUUAAUUGGGGUGAUUUGGAGAUUAAAAUAAUUCUUUAAAGUUAAAAUUGAUGAUUAUUAAAAUUUUUAUCUAAAUUUUUUAAAUUUAAUAUAAAUUACCUUAGGGAUAACAGCGUUAUUUUUCUUUAGAGUUCUUAUUAAAAGAAAAGUUUGCGACCUCGAUGUUGGAUUAAAAUAAAUUUUUGGCGCAAAAGCUUAAAAAUUAGGUCUGUUCGACCUUUAAUAUUUUACAUGAUCUGAGUUUAAACCGGUGUGAGCCAGGUUGGAUUCUAUCUUUAGUUUUAUUGUAUAUUUUAGUACGAAAGGACCAAAUAUAUGUUAUAUUUAAUUG